rnacentral:lncRNA from 1 species
GCUGAAAACUAGAGCCCUUUCUAUUGCCGCAGUCUGGCUGGGCACAAAAUAACCGAGCCACCACAAAAGCCUUGUAGAUUCAAACAGCAACUCUUUAUUCCCGAACUCUCACCGAAACUCUACACGCACGUUCUGGGAAAAAUACACUCCCUCCACCAAUUCUCUCAGAACCCCGCAAGAACUCCAGGGGAACUCAAGGAGCGGGCGCCUGAGGCAGCAGGAUAUGCCCUAUUCCCAGCAGGAUCCACCCUAAACCUGGAGCCACCCUAAUCCAGCAGGAUCCACCCUAAACCUGGAUCCACCCUAAUCCCUGAGCAGGGUCACCUUUCUGAACAAUUUCAACCCAAAAAUGCCAUGUGUCAUUUCCAACUUGGCUAUGGCUCUCAGCAGUAUAUAUUGAAAAAGUGCCAAAGUACAC